rnacentral:rRNA from 1 species
ACGGGUACGGGUUGUGAGAGCAAGAGCCCGGAGAUGGAUUCUGAGACACGAAUCCAGGCCCUACGGGGUGCAGCAGGCGCGAAAACUUUACAAUGCUGGCAACAGCGAUAAGGGAACCUCGAGUGCCAGGUUACAAAUCUGGCUGUCGAGAUGCCUAAAAAGCAUUUCAUAGCAAGGGCCGGGCAAGACCGGUGCCAGCCGCCGCGGUAACACCGGCGGCUCGAGUGGUAACCGUUAUUAUUGGGUCUAAAGGGUCUGUAGCCGGCCGGAUAAGUCUCUUGAGAAAUCUGGCAGCUUAACUGUCAGGCUUUCAGGAGAUACUGUCUGGCUCGAGGCCGGGAGAGGUGAGAGGUACUUCAGGGGUAGGGGUGAAAUCUUGUAAUCCUUGAAGGACCACCAGUGGCGAAGGCGUCUCACCAGAACGGACCUGACGGCAAGGGACGAAAGCUAGGGGCACGAACCGGAUUAGAUACCCGGGUAGUCCUAGCCGUAAACGAUACUCGCUAGGUGUCGGCCACGGUGCGACCGUUGUCGGUGCCGUAGGAAGCCGUGAAGCGAGCCACCUGGGAAGUACG